UGCUGACCAUUAGAGCCAUGACGGCAUCAUCUCUCGUUGAACCUCCUUAACAAGGCAGUACAGAUACCAGAAAUGUUGUCCUGUCUAGCACACGUAAUGCUGCUCAACCACCGCUGCCAAACCGGUUUAUCACAAAAUACGAUGUCGACACCAUCAUGAAGCCCCGACGCACCCUUGAACUUUCAAGAAAUGGUUGGGUUUGGUCAAGGGACUGGUAUUGGAUCUGAUAUAUUGUCAUUAUUGUCACACCUUUUUGCUAAAUAUGAGGUCUUGAAAACUGCUUGGCAUUAAUACUCCUUGUGAGGUGUAACCCAACGUUAAUGACGCCUGUCUGUAUAAGUGGUACAUACUUGACACCUAUGGCGAAGGAUGAGCCAGUUAUUUUCGAGUUUGUGCUUUGGGUGCAUCUCGUUCCUCGGGUUGCAUUGCGCCCGCGACCCCAUAGGAGUUCCUGGUCUUGUCUCUUCGCCCCCAACCCCGAUAAACUCUGUGUGCCGUGAACGAAUGCUCAUCAGGUCGACAGAAAUUUGACGACGUAAAUCCAUCCAUAUUAACUGGCGCUGCGGCUGCGCUCAAUAGACUCCGUUGGGGAGUCUGAGCCUGAUAGGGUGUACCAGUCCAGCCGGUUAUGUACGGUUGGUAUGCUCUAUGAUAUGGAUCUCCAGCCACCUGUCAGCUAGGGGCAGACCCCAGUGUCUCAACCCUGGGUCUCAGAGGCGGUAACUUCUAGUCAGGCAGCGCGCUAUGUCUGGUUAGGCGACAUGGGUUACCAGGGCAUCCACAGCCAAUAUGGUUUGCACAUGGAGGUCAUCGCGACCGACUUGUGAGGGGGAAGAAGUGAUGUCCAUGGCGGUUUCAAAUUGAUCUGACGACCCCCGCGUCUUUGGACUGGAGGGGUUCAUGUGGCCAAAUGCUGUCAGCUAAAUCCUAUCGUUAGCAUCGUUCGCGGUACAUGGAAACCCAGGGCAUGGAACCCUUUUUGUCUUCAAGUUGGUUUAAUUUCCCCGAGGAUUUCAAAUAUGAUAUAUAUAUUUAGAUCCACAGGUACAGUCAUACAUUUUUUAAUUUGUUUUCGAGCAUUGUAAAGAGGUUAUGAGAAUAAAUUUCCUCUUUGGACGUGUUUUUCUUUACCAGAAUGACAAUCAAAAGGUUUGUCACUGGAGAAUUUCCCCGUCCCAACCCCAGUCCUAGAAUAAUAUACAGACUAAAUAGUAUCUUUGGACUGUACUGGUAAUAUAGGUCAGUCACGAAAAAUAAAAAAUACAUUGGACUGUACUGGUAAUAGAGGUCAGUCACGAAUAAUGAAAUAUGUAUUGGACUGUACUGGUAAUAGAGGUCAGUCACAAAGAAUGAAAUGUACAAUGGACUGUACUGGUAAUAGAGGUCAGUCACGAAAAAAAGAAAUAUGUAUUGGACUGUACUGGUAAUAUAGGUCAGUCACGAAAAUAUCUGAAAGUCUGUGCCCCAUUGUUGACGAAUACAAUAUCGUGAAGACUUUAUCAAUAGUCACGGUCCCUGGCCCCUCCCACAAAAAAAACAUCAGCAAGGUCACUGCAGGCAAUAGCUUCAGUAUUGUUAUUGUAUAAACAUGUCUUAAACAUUAUAAACGGCCCUAUUUUGUGGGGUUACAUUGGGUUCUUGCUGGGGUAAUGAUGUCCAUGUCCGAUUCUGCAUUUUGUGGACUUGUAAAUCAGUCCAGCAGUGACACUGCGUUUUGUGGGCAUGUAAGUCUGUCCAGCAGUAUCAAGUUUCACCCCAGCAGUUACCAAAAAGACCUGCACGUGACCUUAAAGUAAAUUUAUGAUGAUAUAACUAUGCAAGUGUGGUAGGGACAAAACGCGAUGGAUGCAUUGGAAGAAGGAAAUCUGCAAAGUGUAGCUGGAACUGUCUGUCCAGCUCUCGUUUAUGAAACAAUGGGCGAUUUGAACUCCUGAUCAACAAAUCGCCCAUUGUUGACUGAAUCAGCUUUCUAAUUGUCUCCAUUUUUUCAGGUGAAUAGUUGCUCUAUCUCGUGUGGUUUCGCGGUUCCGUCCCAUGAAUCGAGCCUACACGACAGAGGCCACUUCUGCGAGGGAAAUUAUCAGUUUGGGGACAAAUUUCCUGGUGGAUCGUAAGAGCAGGACUUGGCUCCCAGUUGCCCAUCUCGCAUGAGUUGGAGAUAAAUAUUCAGGAUGCCAGAUUUGUGGAACAAAGUUGAGGCCAGAAGCCAAGGAUCCUGAUCAGGGAACAUCAGUUCCCAACGGAAUUUACCAUUUUCUUGUUGUAAUUUAUGCUGUUGGGUUAAAAAAUUCAAUCAAACACUGUUACUCUUUGUUUCAAGUGAACCUUUGCAAAAAUGUGCUUAUUCCCGAUUGGGCUGAAAUCAAUAGCACUAAUUUGUAUGUACUCGCUGAUCCAGAAUAUUGCUAUUUCUUGUUCCGUUUUCAAUGUGGCAAUUAAUUUGCUGUUUGGUGAUGGUUGUGACGUGAUAACAACUGAUCUAUUUCACAACACGAGUUGCAACAGCAAUGGAGUUAUUUGUCUGGGUAGUUGUCUCGGUCACAGCAAAAAAGUGUUUCUACAUUGCAUUUUUGUGCCACACUUAAUUACUCAAAAUGAUGCACGGAUGCGCCUUAUUGACAUGUUAUUUGCUUGCAAGAGGAAUUUGUUGUAGUUCAAUAUCAUUGCUCUAAAGGCCUAGAUUUCUCAAAAUAUCUGCAUUAUGUUCUUUCUUUUUUCUUAAGGCAGGCCUAAUUUAACAGAAGGCUCAGAGAAUGUUUUAGGUAGGAUAUUAUUGAUAUUUUAGGCCCAUAUCAGUUUUGAGAACAAUUUCCUCUUGAAGACAAUAAACGUCAAUAUCAAGUCUCUGCCCCAUUUUGAUUGAGCGGUUUUGGGAUAAAAUAUAUGAGAAUGCUCCAUUGGUGUUAACAGACUAUGCCAUUGUUUUAGUCAGGAAUCGGUUCAGAUCUUGCCACUUUGAUUGUUCAAUUGUUAUCAUGUCAUUGCCAUUUGCCUUUGCCAUUUGCCAUAUCACAGCCUUCGUCUCUUGUCCUUCGGUCUCCGAACGUGGGGAUCUCAAAAAGUUCGAUUUACACACUACACAGUCUCAAGGUAUA